GCUCAACAUCAUACCAGCAGUUUGUGUGUAUUUACAGAAACAGUAACCAUUUGAGAUGGAACUAGGCAGAGCUCUGAGUUACUUUGCUCUAGCAACAAUUAUUCAAUAUUCCUGCAGUCAGACACUGAUUGAGUCAGAGUCAGUGAUCAUCAAACCUGAUCAGUCUCAUAAACUGACCUGUACAGCCUCUGGAUUUAACUUUGGUAGCUAUUACAUGGCCUGGAUUAGACAGGCACCUGGAAAAGGGCUGGAAUUUGUUGCAACUAUCUCAGGCAGCAGUAGUAGCAAGUAUUACUCCAGUGCAGUUAAUGGCCGCUUCACCAUCUCCAGAGACAACAGUAAGAUGCAGGUGUAUCUGCAGAUGAACAGCGUGAGGACAGAAGACACUGCAGUGUAUUACUGUGCCCGUGACCCACAGUGAUACUUCUCCCUAGACAUCAGUACAAAAACACAUGCU